GAGACGUUAACUUAAGUUUAAAGUAUUGAAUUUUUAAUUCAAGAAUGGAUAUACCACGUUUUG
rnacentral:tRNA from 1 species